rnacentral:rRNA from 1 species
CACGCGUAACACAUGCAAGUCUCACUAUCGUAGCGAUCCGAUACUUGAGACAGGGUGCUUGACAGAUGAUUAACGUACUUAUCACUGGGGGAUAGCCCACGGAAAGGAUGAGCACUACCGUAUGAUAUUUGCUUUCGGCAUCGGGAUUUAUAUCCAGAUUUAUUGGUGAUAGAUGGGAUUGAUGGUCAAUAGAUAAUCGGGUGUCUAGACGAUGUACCAAGUCUACUAUGAGUAGGGGAAGUGAGAGAUUGGUCCCCCAUACGGGCAGUGAGAUACGGACCCGAGUCCUAAGAGAGGCACCGGUAUCGUAUAUUAGGCAAUGGGGGAGAACAUGACCCAACCAUGCCGAGCGCAAUAAGAAGACUCUGUGAGUCGUAUGAUGCCUUUGAUAGGGUAGAGUUACCAAUACGUGUAUUAUGAUGACGGUACCUACAGAAUAAGCUCCGGCUAACUCCGUGCCAGCAGCCGCGGU